rnacentral:lncRNA from 1 species
GCUGGCGGUUCAGAGUUAUUGCGAUCAUUCUUUUCACCAUGUUCCUUCUAAAGUAUCACUACAGGAAUUUUUCUUGUAUUUUCCUUUUAGGACUAGCCAUCAUGGACUACUCAAUUUUUGGAUUUUUCUUUGAUUCUUGAUAUCCAACUGAGUUUUCCUUAUAGUGAGUGCUUUUAUUUAUAUUUUUUUUCUCUUUUUUUUUCCAAUUAAGUUGAUUUUUCAACAUUUUUC